rnacentral:rRNA from 1 species
AGAACGAACGCUGGCGGCAUGCCUAACACAUGCAAGUCGAACGCUUCACCGGUUUCGGCCGGUGGGGAGUGGCGCACGGGUGAGUAGCGCGUGGGAACCUGCCCUGUUGUGGGGGAUAACCGAGGGAAACUUCGGCUAAUACCGCAUAAGCCGGUUGUCUUGAAAGAGAUGGCCGGGAAAGAUUUAUCGCGACAGGAGGGGCCCGCGUCGGAUUAGCUAGUUGGUGGGGUAACGGCCCACCAAGGCAGUGAUCCGUAGCUGGUCUGAGAGGAUGAUCAGCCACACUGGGACUGAGACACGGCCCAGACUCCUACGGGAGGCAGCAGUGGGGAAUAUUGGACAAUGGGCGCAAGCCUGAUCCAGCAAUGCCGCGUGAGUGAUGAAGGCCUUAGGGUUGUAAAGCUCUUUCGCCCGCGACGAUGAUGACGGUAGCGGAGAAGAAGCCCGGCUAACUUCGCGCCAGCAGCCGCGGUAA